rnacentral:rRNA from 1 species
AUUGAACGCUGGCGGCAGGCCUAACACAUGCAAGUCGAACGAGUGGCGGACGGGUGAGUAAUGUCUGGGAAACUGCCUGAUGGAGGGGGAUAACUACUGGAAACGGUAGCUAAUACCGCAUACCAUCGGAUGUGCCCAGAUGGGAUUAGCUAGUGGGUGGGGUAACGGCUCACCUAGGCGACGAUCCCUAGCUGGUCUGAGAGGAUGACCAGCCACACGGGGACUGAGACACGGUCCAGACUCCUACGGGAGGCAGCAGUGGGGAAUAUUGCACAAUGGGCGCAAGCCUGAUGCAGCAAUGCCGCGUGGAUGAAGAAGGCCUUCGGGUUGUAAAGCACUGUCAGCGGGGAGGCGUUACCCGAAGAAGAAGCACCGGCUAACUCCGUGCCAGCAGCCGCGGUAAUUC